rnacentral:rRNA from 1 species
AUUGAACGCUGGCGGCAGGCUCAACACAUGCAAGUCGAGCGAGCGGCGGACGGGUGAGUAAUGUCUGGGAAACUGCCUGAUGGAGGGGGAUAACUACUGGAAACGGGAGCUAAUAACGCAUACCAUCAGAUGUGCCCAGAUGGGAUUAGCUGGUAGGUGGGGUAAUGGCUCACCUAGGCGACGAUCCGUAGCUGGCCUGAGAGGAUGACCAGCCACACGGGAACUGGGACACGGUCCAUACGCCGACGGGAGGGAGCAGUGUGGAAUAUGGUGCAAUGGGGGCAAGCCUGACGCAGUCAGGCCGCGUGUAAGAAGAAGGCCUUCGGGUUGUAAAGUAGUUUCAGCGGUGAGGCGGUACCCGCAGAAGAAGCACCGGCUAACUCCGUGCCAGCCGCCGCGGUAAUAC